AUUGAACGCUGGCGGCAGGCCUAACACAUGCAAGUCGAGCGGAUGAAGGGAGCUUGCUCCUGGAUUCAGCGGCGGACGGGUGAGUAAUGCCUAGGAAUCUGCCUUGUAUUGGUGGAUAACGUCCGGUAACGGGCGCUAAUACCGCAUACGUCCUUAUGUUGAAAGUGGGGGAUCUUCGGACCUCACGCUAUCAGAUGAGCCUGGGUCGGAUUUGCUAGUUGGUGGGGUAAAGGCCUACCAAGGCGACGAUCCGUAACUGAUCUGAGAGGAUGAUCAGUCACACUGGAAAUGAGACACGGUCCAGACUCCUACGGGAGGAAGCAGUGGGGAAUAUUGGACAAUGGGCGAAAGCAUGAUAGAGCAAUGCCGCGUGAGUGAAGAAGGUCUUCGGAUUGUAAAGCACUGUAAGUAGGGAGGAAGAGAAGUAAGAUAAAACGUGGAGGUUUUGACGGUACCAAAAGAAAAAGCACCGGCUAACUACGUG
rnacentral:rRNA from 1 species